UCUUUAUCCAGAGUGGCUGAGGGACAGGCCCGUCGAAGCCACGGCAACCACGCGAUAUCCAACGGUCGCGCUGCGGUGCCAAUUCCUGCUCCAAAGUCCGGCUGAAGCCGGACACUACAGUCGAAUGUAGUGUCCGCCUUCAGGCGGACCUAGGGGGAAGAUGAGGG
rnacentral:ncRNA from 1 species